GACGAACGCUGGCGGCGUGCUUAACACAUGCAAGUCGAACGGAAAGGCCCUGCUUGCAGGGUAUUCGAGUGGCGAACGGGUGAGUAACACGUGGGUGAUCUGCCCUGCACUUCGGGAUAAGCCUGGGAAACUGGGUCUAAUACCGGAUAGGAGCCAUUUUUAGUGUGAUGGUUGGAAAGUUUUUUCGGUGUAGGAUGAGCUCGCGGCCUAUCAGCUUGUUGGUGGGGUAAUGGCCUACCAAGGCGGCGACGGGUAGCCGGCCUGAGAGGGUGGACGGCCACAGUGGGACUGAGAUACGGCCCAGACUCCUACGGGAGGCAGCAGUGGGGAAUAUUGCACAAUGGGCGCAAGCCUGAUGCAGCGACGCCGCGUGGGGGAUGACGGCCUUCGGGUUGUAAACUCCUUUCGCUAGGGACGAAGCUUUUUGUGACGGUACCUAGAGAAGAAGCACCGGCUAACUACGUG
rnacentral:rRNA from 1 species